GCCGUCGUAGCUCAGUGGGUAGAGCGCCAAAAUACCUUCUCCGACACCUCGUCCGAGUCGGGCCGAUAGGGGAAGGUUAUCAUUCUCCAUGAGGUGGACACGGGUUCGAAUCCCGUCGAUGGCA
rnacentral:tRNA from 1 species